rnacentral:rRNA from 1 species
UACGUAGGGAGCAAGCGUUGUCCGGAAUCAUUGGGCGUAAAGCGCGCGUAGGUGGCCUCAUAAGUCCGUUGUGAAAGUCAAAGGCUCAACCUUUGAAAGCCGAUGGAUACUGUGAGGCUAGAGUCCGGAAGAGGCGAGUGGAAUUCCUGGUGUAGCGGUGGAAUGCGCAGAUAUCAGGAGGAACACCGAUUGCGAAGGCAGCCCGCUAAGCAACUAUUGACGCUGAGGCACGAAAGCGUGGGGAUCAAACAGG